AUUAAUUUUAUUCUAUAAUUUUAAAAUUAUUUUAAUAUCUUAUUUUAUAAAUUAAUUUUUAUUUAAAAAUUUAUAGGGCAAGUAAAAAAGUACCUUCGUGGUAUUUCGGACUUUCUAGAUUUUGCAUUUCUCAAAGCAACCAAGAGGGGUUAAUUCUUUGCCCUUGUAAAAAUUGUAGCAAUCGCUUUUGGAACAGUAGAGAAAUUGUUCUUGAGCAUUUGAUUUGUGAUGGAUUUGUCGAUUAUUACAUAUGUUGGGUUUUAUAAUGGAGAAGACAUUACAUCGUCUUUUCUUGGAUCAGAUUAUGACAGUUCCAAUGCAUAUGAUAAUAUGUGUGAGAUGCUAAAUGAUGUGUUUAGAUGUUUUGAUGAAAACAAAUAGGAAAUGAUAGCAGAAGAACAUAAUUACAAUAAAAAUCCAAAUGAAGAAGCGAAGAUAUUUUACAAAUUACUCAAAAAUU
rnacentral:lncRNA from 1 species